UCGUGUAAUCAAAAGUCCAGUACUAGUCCAGUUUCUUGUCGACAGAUAGCCAUACUUAGGUGCUAGUUUCUUAUUUACAGCUUGUAAGACUUACCUGAAGAUGUCUGAGACUAGACCAACGCAGACGCCUGCCCCGCAGAAGCGAAAGAGGUCUGUGAUGACGCUCGAGACAAAGAUCAGUGUACAGUGUACAUGUACAUCUAUUAUAAAGACGACACCUAUGUGUAGUUUCUCUGCAACAUGUUGUACGCCAGCUGCUGCGACAGGAACGUCGGGAAUGUGUACUCUCUCCAGGCCCUUCCUACAAAGGAAACAAACCCGAGGCGGAAUAACAGA